rnacentral:tRNA from 1 species
GAGAUGAUAGCUCAGUGGUAGAGUGCUUGCCUCGCAUGCAUGAGGCCUUGGGUUGGAUUCCUCAGCACCACA